rnacentral:rRNA from 1 species
AUACGGAGGAUCCGAGCGUUAUCCGGAUUUAUUGGGUUUAAAGGGUGCGCAGGCGGCCAUUUAAGUCAGCGGUUAAAUCGUGGGGCUCAACCCCAUUCUGCCGUUGAUACUGGGGGGCUUGAUUGCGGUCGAGGUUGGCGGAUUUCGUUGUGUAGCGGUGAAAUGCAUAGAUAUGACGAAGAACACCGAUUGCGGAGGCAGCUGACCAGACCGCAAAUGACGCUCAUGCACGAAAGUGCGGGGAUCGAACAGGAUUAGAUACCCUGGUAGUCCGCACAGUAAACGAUGAAUACUUGUUUUCGGCGAUAUAAUGUCGGAGGCAAAGCGAAAGCGAUAAGUAUUCCACCUGGGGAGUACGCCGGCAACGGUGAAACUCAAAGGAAUUGACGGGG